UCCAAUUAUAGAAGUGACAUUGACUGACUUGUUGGAUGGGUUCUAGCUCAGGUGCUUGUCUACUUCAAAUUAAGUUUUUCUAUUUCCUGAAGCAGUGAAUUGUUGCUUUUUCUUGAUGCAUUCAAAAUCCCCCUUUUUUAUGCUUCCAUUUCUUAAGUGAAGAGCCUACAAGUUGUAAUGAAAGGUUGAGAAACUCCCUAGAGCAUAUCGUAACAAAGUGAUCACUAUCUACUCUCAUUCAUUUGAUAAGUUUAAAAAUCCGCGCAUUAUAGGAAAGUAAGUUGUUAUAUUUUCACUCAUUAAAGUACUUGAAUUUUUCACCUUAGUUAGACAUUUUAAUCUUGAGAUUAAAGAAAAAAUUUAGUAUCUUUUACUUAUUUAAAACUUAUAAUAGUUGCUAUCUUCCAUUUCAUCCUUCCUCUCUCGGUUCUCGCUCCAUCUGAUCUUAUGCUUAAAACUAUCUCUGCGGAAAGCAUAUACAGUAAAAUUACUGCAUCCAAGAUCCGACUACAAAUUAAUUUAUUUCUCUGUUUCUUUUGUUCCAAAAAAAUAAAAGAAGAUUUUAAACAAGAAAUUCUGCUAUGUUUAUUCAUUACUUUUUAGCAAUCAAUGACAUCCAUACAUCCAAAAACAGACAACAAAGCUACACAAGAAUAAGAAAUAAUCUCAUAUUCUAACAAAAAAAUACACACAAACGUCACCACAAUAAGCUUAAAAAAAAGAAGGAAGCACACAUAAAUGAGAAGAAUUUUUUUUGAAAAAAAAAUGGUAUUCAAGAAUUUCGCAUUUCAACUUGUAACAGUAGAAAAAUAAGUUAAUUAAAAAAAAUAAAAUAAUGGGUAUUCAAGAAUCCAUUUUAUGCCUUUUAACAUAACAACACAAAGAAAUCAAUAAAAUAAGCCUUUUUUUUUUUAAAAAAAAAAAGUAGAGAGAAAGGUAAUCAAUAAUCUCACUUUCCAACUUAUAACACCACAAAAAGAAAAACUUAAUUUCAUCGAGGGGGGAAGGUUGAAAACAGAUUAGGAAGAAAAUUACCUAUGCGGCUUGUUGAGGAUGAUUGAACAAAUAGCCGAUUAUAAGUAAAAUGGUGCUCUUAUUUAUACAAUUCAAGUGCAGAAAUUUCUGUAUUCUAGAAAAGUCUUUCACUUCAUUUUUGUAGUAAUAAUGGAAUACAGAUGGUUGGUUCUUAGUUUAUAUGUGGCAGAGAAAGCUUGAAAUAUCCUAGAUUUU
rnacentral:lncRNA from 1 species